GUUUCUAUAGUUGAAUCACAACAAUGAUUUUUCAUGUCAUUAGU
rnacentral:tRNA from 1 species